AGUAAAUUGGUUAAGUUAGAAAGGGCGCACGGUGGAUGCCUUGGCACUAGGAGCCGAAGAAGGACGGGACUAACACCGAUAUGCUUUGGGGAGCUGUACGUAAGCGUUGAUCCAGAGAUUUCCGAAUGGGGGAACCCACUAUCUUUAGUCGGAUAGUAUCCUUACGUGAAUACAUAGCGUGAGGAAGGCAGACCCAGGGAACUGAAACAUCUAAGUACCUGGAGGAAGAGAAAGAAAAAUCGAUUUCCUGAGUAGCGGCGAGCGAAACGGAAAGAGCCCAAACCAAGAAGCUUGCUUCUUGGGGUUGUAGGACACUCUAUACGGAGUUACAAAAGAAAGUUAUAAAUGAAGCGGUCUGGAAAGGCCCGCCAAAGACGGUAACAGCCCGGUAGUUGAAAUGGCUUUCCCUCCAGAGUGGAUCCUGAGUACGGC
rnacentral:rRNA from 1 species